GCUUACGGCCAUACCAGCCUGGGUACGCCCGAUCUCGUUUGAUCUCGGAAGCUAAGCAGGGUCGGGCCUGGUUAGUACUUGGAUGGGAGACCGCCUGGGAAUACCAGGUGCUGUAAGCA
rnacentral:rRNA from 1 species